CUGCCUGAUGGAGGGGGAUAACUACUGGAAACGGUGGCUAAUACCGCAUAACGUCGCAAGACCAAAGAGGGGGACCUUCGGGCCUCUUGCCAUCAGAUGUGCCCAGAUGGGAUUAGCUUGUUGGUGAGGUAACGGCUCACCAAGGCGACGAUCCCUAGCUGGUCUGAGAGGAUGACCAGCCACACUGGAACUGAGACACGGUCCAGACUCCUACGGGAGGCAGCAGUGGGGAAUAUUGCACAAUGGGCGCAAGCCUGAUGCAGCCAUGCCGCGUGUAUGAAGAAGGCCUUCGGGUUGUAAAGUACUUUCAGCGGGGAGGAAGGUGUUGUGGUUAAUAACCGCAGCAAUUGACGUUACCCGCAGAAGAAGCACCGGCUAACUCCGUGCCAGCAGCCGCGGUAAUACGGAGGGUGCAAGCGUUAAUCGGAAUUACUGGGCGUAAAGCGCACGCAGGCGGUCUGUCAAGUCGGAUGUGAAAUCCCCGGGCUCAACCUGGGAACUGCAUUCGAAACUGGCAGGCUUGAGUCUUGUAGAGGGGGGUAGAAUUCCAGGUGUAGCGGUGAAAUGCGUAGAGAUCUGGAGGAAUACCGGUGGCGAAGGCGGCCCCCUGGACAAAGACUGACGCUCAGGUGCGAAAGCGUGGGGAGCAAACAGGAUUAGAUACCCUGGUAGUCCACGCCGUAAACGAUGUCUACUUGGAGGUUGUGCCCUUGAGGCGUGGCUUCCGGAGCUAACGCGUUAAGUAGACCGCCUGGGGAGUACGGCCGCAAGGUUAAAACUCAAAUGAAUUGACGGGGGCCCGCACAAGCGGUGGAGCAUGUGGUUUAAUUCGAUGCAACGCGAAGAACCUUACCUGGUCUUGACAUCCACAGAACUUUCCAGAGAUGGAUUGGUGCCUUCGGGAACUGUGAGACAGGUGCUGCAUGGCUGUCGUCAGCUCGUGUUGUGAAAUGUUGGGUUAAGUCCCGCAACGAGCGCAACCC
rnacentral:rRNA from 1 species